CUAUUCAACUCCUCUUUUUCUGGAGUUUCACUUACUUCCAACACAAGGAAGGCAACUUUUUUUGCUUCCAUGAGAAUGGAAUGAAGGUAGAUGAGGGUUUUUUGUUUCUGUUUUUGUUUUCCUGCUUCUAGGAUGGUAGAAAGCAGUCCUCAGCCUGAGACUCAUCCCUUGUCCACCAGGGUCUUCGGGACAAACCCAGCAGGUGGUACCGCAUAUGAAGAAGGCUGCAAUGUAUUGCAAUGGAACUCUCGAAAAUGAAAGUGAAGUGACUGUGUAGAAAGUAAUUCCUCAAGGAAUGCUGAACACUCCUACUGUAAGGCCAGUUGCCUCGACGGAAGGCUGGACACACCCACCUCUGCAUUCAGCACCAGGCUCUGCACUCGGCACCUAGCUCUGCCCCAUGGCUCCCCUGGAAGGCUCUGCUGAUGCAACCCUGGCCGGCUCUGGCACCAGAAAACCCGCCCAACAACCCACCAACCAAUAGCGGCCCGCCCCGUCCCAAUCCCACUCCCCUGUAG